AUGUAUAUUGAAUUUUAUAUUCUUUAUCAACCCACACUGUGUACCUCUUUACUGUUGCUUCCAUGGGACAUGGCUCUGCCACGUCGGCCUUCUGGCUGGUGAGCGCCCAUGGGAGGAAAACAAAACUCUUUGUUACAAUUGACGUCUGUCUGAAUUGUUUAUAUUAAACGUUA
rnacentral:misc_RNA from 1 species